GACGAACGCUGGCGGCGUGCUUAACACAUGCAAGUCGAACGGAAAGGCCCUGCUUGCAGGGUACUCGAGUGGCGAACGGGUGAGUAACACGUGGGUGAUCUGCCCUGCACUUCGGGAUAAGCCUGGGAAACUGGGUCUAAUACCGGCUAGGAGCCAUUUUUAGUGUGAUGGUUGGAAAGUUUUUUCGGUGUAGGAUGAGCUCGCGGCCUAUCAGCUUGUUGGUGGGGUAAUGGCCUACCAAGGCGGCGACGGGUAGCCGGCCUGAGAGGGUGGACGGCCACACUGGGACUGAGAGACGGCCCAGACUCCGACGGGAGGCAGCAGGGGGGAAUAUUGCACAAUGGGCGCAAGCCUGAUGCAGCGACGCCGCGUGGGGGAUGACGGUCUUCGGGUUGUAAACUCCUUUCGCUAGGGACGAAGCUUUUUGUGACGGUACCUAGAUAAGAAGCACCGGCUAACUACGUG
rnacentral:rRNA from 1 species